GAUGGUAUAGCUCAAGUGGUAGAAUGCAUGCUUAGCAUGCGUGAGGUUCUGGGUUCAAUCCUCAGUACCUCCU
rnacentral:tRNA from 1 species